rnacentral:tRNA from 1 species
GCGCCGAUGGUUUAGUGGUAAAAAUCCAUCGUUGCCAUCGAUGGGCCCCCGGUUCGAUUCCGGCGGCGCA